rnacentral:tRNA from 1 species
UGGGUUGUAGCUCAGCGGUAGAGUACUCGCCUAGUGCAUGUGAGGCCCUGGGUUCGAUUCUCAGCACCACAU